ACGUCACAUAUAGCAUAUGUGAUUGCCUUUGCAUACACAAAGUCACACAGUAAAGUAACAUUGAUAUUUUAACCCAAAUCUUGAUGUUUUCCCAAAACACGCCAGGAUGAAACAGUCAUGCUGUCUUGGGAACAGUGAUAUAUGUCAUUUCAUGAGUGACUGGUGAUCAGCCUUGCUGACUCACAGGAGAUCAAAGGCGAACGCUGAGAGAAGCAGGGUAGGAAUCAAGUAAUUAUCACUUAAAAGUAUCUUUGCUUGCGUUCGCUGUAAACCCUUUUCCUCUCCACAUGUGUUUGACAUUAGCUGUCCUUUGCCUCAUAUUGGUAAAAAACAUCCUAAGACCACUCAGAGGUCCUGACUAAAAGGAGGCCAGAGGCACAAGGAAACCUAUUUAUAGACAUGGGUCACAACAAGCUGCCACUAAUUAGUCAGGUUCAUCACAAAGCUGUAAAUAUAGAGAGUUACACGGACCUUAAAGGAGUCAGACUGGGUGGUUUUAAAGUUUAAAAGCUGAGAUAUAUAUAUACUGUAUGUUCAGCUAUCAGAAUAAGACCCAAAUAUCCAACUAAGCUCCAACUCAGAAAUCAGGUACUAGGUUUUAAGACGGUUGAAAAAGUAAUUUUAAUAUAAAAGAAGUGGAUCCUCAUGUGUCCACUCUUGCUUUUCAGUUCCUCCUGAGUGUUUUUUUUCUCUCCCCGUGUUUUCCCGUUCAUUCCCUCGCCUGUCCUUUCCCCUCCUCUCUCCACCGGUUCCUGAUCGUCUUGUUAGCGUGUCUGUGUAUAUAGUCUUUUGUUCUCCUCAGGUCCUUGUCAGUUCGCUGGUCCUUCAUCCUCUGUCUUCAUCUGUCUUUGUCUGUCUUCCUGGCCCGAGUUGUUUGCGUUGCUCCAUCUUUGUCCACGUUUCUCCGCUUUUGUCCCGUGCUCUGUCGUCUCUGUCCGACCGGUUCACUUCUCUGUGCUCCCGUGCUGGUAUGCUCUGGUUGUUGUUUCUCAUUUGAUUUGCACUUUGCUUUUGUUUUAGUUCUUAGUGAGUCGUUUUUGGUUUCUUGGUUUUGUUUGUUUGUUUGUUUGUUUUGUUGUUUUUUUUGUAUUUUCAGCUUUGUUUAAUAGAGCUUCCCCUAUUUCCUGCCUCCUGUGUGUGUCUGCAUGUGGGUCCUCCCCUUGCUAAAACCAUCAUUAUAACACUGCUAGCCUGGCUUUACUCCAUUUCCACCACAACAGGAGUACCUGCUGGAAGGCCACAGUGGGAGGAGGCUAAGCAGACAUCCCUCUCCCAAGCAAGGCUUUCUGGGCCCUCCUGGAGGAUCCUGUGGAAUUCCCAGGGGGUCUCCUUCCAGUCUGCUCUGCCCAGAAAAACCUCCAAGGGAGGCGUCGUAAUCAUAAUCAGAUGCUUAAACCACCUCAACUCCUCUUGACGUUCAAGCUCCUCCACCUAUCUCUAAGGCUAAGCCCAGCCAACCAACACAGGAAACACAUCAAGAUUUUUUUUUUUUCCAAUUACAUUUACUGAAAAAUAUUAUUUCCAACAUCUGCAUUUAGACCUUCAUGAGUUUUUGUUGCAUGAAUUAUGGAUUUAUUUUAGUACAAUUGGUGAAGGUAAAGUGUGCACAAACUUACAGCAUGUGAUUUUCAGCUAGCCUACAGCAAGGUGCAUAGAAUUGUUCAGCUCCAUUUUCAGUAGCUGUUGCCCAGAGCAGUAGUCGUCCCUGUCUGUGGUGCCAACUUGGCCCACACACUUAAGGAUGGCAGACUGGCCACACUGGAUGCUUGUGUUGUGCUUGGUGACUGAAUUGCUGAGCGGCAGCUGCGUACUGCUGCACAGUUUAAAUGUUGUAGUGUCCUGUAUGCAUGCAGGCAAUUGUGUGCGUACAACAGUGUGUUGGUCCUCAAGGGUUUCUACAGCCACCUUAUCCAGCAUGUUGCUGAGAAGCUGCUUUUACUCGGAUGAGAAGGCAGACCAGGUCACUGUUUGUAACAAGGGGAUAUACAGUAACGUCUGUGCGGGAUGCUGCUCUGCACAAAGACUGAUUCACAUGGCUGCUGGGAACAUGUGUGCAACACAUGGUGAGGCCUGAACAGAGUGAGAGCCACAGGCUGGAGAGGCCCACAGAGACCUGGCUGCAAACAACCACCACACACACACAUCACUCACACACGCACACAUGGACCCAUGUUCUCUGCUUUUACAGGGGGGUUGAAGUUUCACACUACUACUUUAGUUCCCAGGUAGUUCUCAGUGUGUGUGUGAUUGGGAUAUGGUGAUGAGGAAUAUCCGGUGUGGUGCCAGCAUGUGAAAGUGUCUUAAAACACCCAGAGACCUCAGAGAGUUGAUUACAGCUAAUUACCGAGAUGAAGCACAGCAGCUGGAACUGCCUAGAUGCCAUUCAAAGGCAGGCUCACCCCCUCUUGCACACCAGUGACCCCCUGGUUUUUACUGGGACAGAAACAAGCUCCCUCUUGGCACCUCAGCCCUCAUUCCUCUGGCUCCAUGACUCCUGGCAGGGCUGGAUCUAUACCUCAGAGAGACUGCAAGAUGACUGAGAGCUUGUUGGAGCUGAUAUGAGCUGGCCUAGACACAGACUGCUGAGGCUGCUUUUUUCAGCUGUGGGGUUUCCCCCCUUGCUGUGGUAUUGUUGGAAUCCUAAAGAUGCUUACAGCCAGAUGUCUCAAAGACAGGGAGAAAGACGGAGGGAGAGAAAGAGGCAGCUUGCAACCACGCACAGAGUCUGCAACAUGCUGUCAAAGUCUUAAAGGGGCAAUUUGUAAGAAAUGGCCAGAAUUUUCUUCAAAAAUCUUGUGGUGGCCUUGUGGUGUUGGGAAGGUGCCGUGCAGUGACACAAAAUACAUAUAAUCCAUAAUUCCCCUCAAAUGCUCUGAGCCUGCAGCUUUUUUACUUUCCACCAAGUAGAAAAAUACAACCAUACACCAUCUGAAUUCAAGUUUAUCUUUCUUACUGAACUUGAGCCUAACUGGCUU